ensembl:rRNA 5S_rRNA 5S ribosomal RNA
GGGGACUGCUGCACAGGCCCCUAACAACUCAAAGUCGCCAAAUUUGCCGUGAACUGGGAAGCUAACGGGGAUUGGUUGCGGUUUGCACUUGGAUGGGAGAUCGCUUGGGAAUACAGCAUGUCCUCC